UGCAGUCGACGGGCUCUUCGGAGCAAGUGGCGGACGGGUGAGUAACGCGUGAGAAUGUGCCUUCAGGAUGGGGAUAACAAUAGGAAACUAAUGCUAAGACCCAAUGUGCCUUAAGUGGUGAAAAAUGAAAAUUGCCUGAAGAGGAGCUCGCGUCUGAUUAGCUAGUUGGUAAGGUAAUGGCUUACCAAGGCAACGAUCUUUAGGGGGCCUGAGAGGGUGGUCCCCCACACUGGUACUGAGACACGGACCAGACUCCUACGGGAGGCAGCAGUGAGGAAUAUUGGUCAAUGGACGCAAGUCUGAACCAGCCAUGCCGCGUGCAGGAAGACGGCCCUAUGGGUUGUAAACUGCUUUUAUAUAGGAAGAAACUUCUCUACGUGUAGAGAACUGACGGUACUGUAUGAAUAAGGACCGGCUAACUCCGUGCCAGCAGCCGCGGUAAUACG
rnacentral:rRNA from 1 species